AAAAGAGGCAACAUUUUUACUGUUCUUUGUAUUCAUGUGGGUGACUGUGAAACUACAAUGAGUAUUGAUUUAGGUGUUACAAAUAAAUUUCAGGAAUCAGGCAGAUUUGUAAAUAUGGAAUCUGUGAAUAAUGAAGAUUGACUAUAUUUUGGUACUAACGAAGGAACUUUUAACAGUGGGAAGCCCAUUUAAGUUGGCUUCAAAGCCCUUUUGACAUGCUCUCAUUGUUCUUUGAGCACUGCUUUGCUUUCUGGCACAAAAAGAUAUAACAGGCCUAUAUUAUCUUCUACAGCUCUGAAAUCUGCCAUUUAUCCAUGGAUAAUUAUUUCUUUUAGUGGAAUAUGGUAUUAGGAAAUCAAGACCUAGGAGUCAGUUGUGUUCAUUGCUAGUGCUUCCUGCUAUUCCCAGCCCUUCUCAUAUAGGACAGUUCUAGUGGAGAUAGAUAGAUAGGUAGGUAAUGUUUAAAUACAGUGUAGGUAGUAGAGUUGUACCCAAGGAGAUCAAGUCUAAGAUCAUGGAAGUUAUAUAUGGCGGUGAUGGGAGUUAGGGUGGAGGGAAAGUAUAAGGGCCAGAUGCUACGUUCUUAAUAAAUAUGAGGAACUAAUAAGAAACCUAACAUAUAAUAGCACUGAAGAAUGAGAAGUUCUUAAAGACAUUUCAUGAACCCCAAACAAUGAGGGUAGUUUGGCUUGAAUUUGGUUUAGUUUAAGAAUCAGAGAGUUGAGUACAAGAUUUUGAUUAUUACUGUGAGGUAAUAAUUUUUAAGUAAAAUUUUAGAGGUAAGCAUUCUAGGGAAAAUAGGGUGAUCCAUUAUGUCAGACUUCAUAAAUCUUACUGCUUGAUCUUCCACACACAUCCUCCACUCGCAAGUUCACUUCAUGGUCUCAGAUUCUGAUCCAUCUCCACUUUCCAGGUAACAAGAAAGAAGAGAGUGAAGGGAGCAUACUACUCCAAUUAAGAAAACUUUCUUUGUGUGACCCUGACAUGAGCCAUGGCACAGGGCUGAAGCCAAUGAGCUGCUGCUGAAAAUGGCGGAAAGGGAAAAGAAAGAUGAAAAAGUAAGUGGGGCUUUGGUAUGAGAGAUUCUAUUGCCUUGAUGUGCCCAAGGCAGCAGAGUUGAGGGAGAGGAGCUGUUUUUAUUAUUUGGAGGAUUCCUUUCAUUUGGCUUUCUGAGAGGAUUCUAUAUGAUCCUGGUUGAAUCCUACCUACCACUUCAAAUACUGCCUUCUUUUCCAUUUUGCUGUUACACGGAGUGAACUUGUUCAGAUAAUCUUUUCAAGUGGAUUCCUU
rnacentral:lncRNA from 1 species